GCAAUAUCUGAGUUAGGGAGCCAUGAAAAAUGUAUUGAAAAGUAAGAAGAAAAAAAGUCAGCUUUUGCAGUUUUGCCAGAUGGAGCCAAAGGCCUGUACACUCCUUACCUCAUGCUGAUGGCUUUUCUUUCUGUGCCUACAGCCAAAGUUCAGCAGUCCUACAGAGGGACACCUUUCUGCAGCUGUGCCAGACCAGGACUGUCCCUGGAGCUUUCAUCCACCAAAAAGCCACCAGCAGGAAGAAGUGCACUGCGGGUCUCCCUCAAAAGCCCUGAUACUUUUAGCUUCCACCUAAGGCAGAAGAAGGAAACAAGCAAUCAUAAGUCAUCCUAAGGAAGAAGAACCAGAGCCUUUGCCACCAGCAACAUCUGGGACAAAAGGUUGAAGGGUCAUUAUGCAGCUGGUGUCCACAUUGCUGCACCUGAGAAGAGACAACUUUUUUAACACAUUUGGUGGAAUAGCAGCCUCAGAUCAGACCCAGAUGUUCCACAGAUUUACAACACAGACAGGAUGUUGCCAACUACCCAAGGAAUAAAUGUGAAACACUGCCUCUCGUUCUUUUAAAAGGUUAUGUGUGGACAGCAGAAGUGUAAGCUUCCUCAUGCCACCCUGACAGUGCAUGCAACCAAGCUCCCGGAGCUGGAGAGAGUCUCCCAGUCUUGCUAAUGAAAGCAAAACACAGGACCAGGAAAUAAUCAGGGCAGUCCCUGGGAGGUGAUCAGUGUGGUGGCACUGCUGGGCUUGAGACCUCCCACAAGAAACCAGGUCCUGCUGCUCCCUUCCAUGGAAACCUUCCUAUGAAAUCAGGCCUUUUCAGGAUGGACUGUAUUGCAGGACUUCUGAUCAGAGAAGAACAAGAAGAAUAGAGAAUUACCAAACCUACUCUGCUGGCCAGCCAAGAAGAUGACUACCCAGAGGGAACAGGGGUGGAUUGAGGAAGAAGGGUGGAGAAAAAAGAUUCUACAAUGGUAAUAUGCUGGCAGAGCCCUUUCCUGGAAGCCAAGUAACAAAGGAUUUUGUGAUCUUCUGUCACUUGCAUAAAAAGAAGCACAUGUACAGAGUGACAGCUGUUUGGGCCUAAGGUCCCUUUCCCAUUACCAGGCAAUGGACACCACAUCCUUCCUUGGUUAUUGUUGCAUUAAAGUCUUAUUCCAUAUUGUUUACUUCUGAUGCCUUUUCAGCACAGACCAUUCUUUUCGUCUCAAAACGUCCCCUUAUUUCAUGUUCUUUUGUUACGUGAUGAGUGGAGACAUGUAAUACAAACUUUUCAUUUUAUCCAUCUUUAUAGCUGUAUUCAGUAACCAAGCUUGAUUAUUAAA